rnacentral:rRNA from 1 species
UACGUAGGGGGCAAGCGUUGUGCGGAAUGACUGGGCGUAAAGGGUGCGUAGGCGGUGUAGCAAGUUAGAAGUGAAAUACCUAGAGCUUAACUCAGGUGCUGCUUCUAAAACUGCUAUACUUGAGUGCAGUAGAGGAAAGUGGAAUUCCUAGUGUAGCGGUGGAAUGCGUAGAUAUUAGGAGGAACAUCAGUGGCGAAGGCGACUUUCUGGACUGUAACUGACGCUGAGGCACGAAAGUGUGGGGAGCAAACAGG